rnacentral:rRNA from 1 species
CAGCUUGUUGGCGAGGUAAUGGCUCACCAAGGCAAUGAUCGGUAGCCGGACUGAGAGGUUGGCCGGCCACACUGGAACUGAGACACGGUCCAGACUCCUACGGGAGGCAGCAGUGGGGAAUCUUGCACAAUGGACGAAAGUCUGAUGCAGCAACGCCGCGUGGGGGAUGAAGCUUCUCGGAGUGUAAACCCCUUUCGACCCGGAAGAAUGCCCGCAAGGGUAUGACGGUACGGGUAUAAGAAGCCCCGGCUAACUACGUGCCAGCAGCCGCGGUAAUACGUAGGGGGCCAGCGUUGCUCGGAAUUACUGGGCGUAAAGGGUCCGUAGGCGGUGUAGCAAGUCGAUAGUGAAAUCUCUGGGCUUAACCCAGAGGCUGCUAACGAAACUGCUGUGCUAGAGUGUGAGAGAGGCGAGUGGAAUUACGGGUGUAGCGGUGAAAUGCGUAGAUAUCCGUAGGAACAUCCGAGGCGAAGGCGGCUCGCUGGAUCACAACUGACGCUGAGGGACGAAAGCUAGGGGAGCAAACAGGAUUAGAUACCCUGGUAGUCCUAGCCCUAAACCAUCAGGACUUGGGGUUUGCCCUGUACGGGGCAAGUCCCGUAGCUA